rnacentral:siRNA from 1 species
AGACAACCACUGGAGAUGGUCA